UGGGGGAUAUUGCACAAUGGGCGAAAGCCUGAUGCAGCGACGCCGCGUGGGGGAUGAAGGCCUUCGGGUUGGAAACUUCUUUUGCUCUGAACAAGGCGCACCAUGGGGAGUGUUGAGUGUAGGGGUUGAUUAGCGCCGGCUAACUACGUGGCAGCAGCCGCGGUAAUACGUAGGGCGCGAGCGUUGUCCGGAAUUAUUGGGCGUAAAGGGCUUGUAGGUGGCUGGUUGCGUCUGUCGUGAAAGCUCAUGGCUUAACUGUGGGUUUGCGGUGGGUACUGGCUGGCUUUAGUGCAGUAGGGGAGGCUGGAAUUCCUGGUGUAGCGGUGGAAUGCGCAGCUAUCAGGAGGAAUACCGGUGGCGAAGGCGGGUCUCUGGGCUGUUACUGACACUGAGGAGCGAAAGCAUGGGGAGCGAACAGG
rnacentral:rRNA from 1 species